rnacentral:rRNA from 1 species
UACGUAGGGGGCUAGCGUUGUCCGGAAUCAUUGGGCGUAAAGCGCGUGUAGGCGGUCCGGUAAGUCCGCUGUGAAAGUCGGGGGCUCAACCCGGAGACGCCAUCCGAUACUGCGAUGACUGGAGUCUGGUAGGGGAUCACGGAAUACCUGGUGUAGCGGUGAAAUGCGCAGAUAUCAGGUGGAACACCGAUGGCGAAGGCAGUGAUCUGGGCCAGUACUGACGCUGAGGAGCGAAAGCGUGGGGAGCAAACAGG